GGGGCUUGUGCAGGUUCCAGAAAAGGAGACAUUUGCAUGGAGACCUCCCACCCUGAGCAUUACAGUGAAAGAUAAGAAGGGCUGGUGGCUCCUUCCUGGCUGUGGCUCAGAAAGCAGAGCCUGGGGCGUCUCCACCAUGGCCUGGGCUCCACUCCUCCUCACCCUCCUCACUCACUGCACAGGGUCUUGGGCUGAGGUUGUGUUCACUCAGCCCCAUUCUGUGUCGGGGUCUCCGGGGCAGACGGUCACCAUCUCCUGCACCCGCAGCAGUGGCAGCAUUGACAGUGAAUAUGUGCACUGGUACCAGCAGCGCCCAGGCAGUGCCCCCACCACAGUGAUUUACGAAGAUAACAAAAGACCCUCCGGGGUCCCUGAUCGGUUCUCUGGCUCCAUCGACAGCUCCUCCAACUCUGCCUCCCUCACCAUCUCUGGGCUGAAGUCUGAGGACGAGGCUGACUAUUACUGUCAGUCUUAUGACAGCUACAAUCCCACAGUACUCCAGACCCAUGGGGAAGUGAGACAAGAACUCCCCAGAGCAUCCCCACCCUGGGUCAGCCUCAGCGUCUUCCCACCGGGGUGUGUGGCUCUUCUCUCCUGCCUGAGUAUGAGACUUGCACUUGUCUUCUUACAACUUUCUCUGUUUUCUUUUCAAAAUAUCAAUCUCUCCUUCCAAAUCUUCAUGGAUGAUGAUCAAUUCAUGGGGUAG